CCUACGGGAGGCUGCAGUAGGGAAUCUUGCGCAAUGGGCGAAAGCCUGACGCAGCAACGCCGCGUGGGGGAUGAAGGCUCUCGGGUUGUAAACCCCUUUCAGUAGGGACGAACUAAGACGGUACCUACAGAAGAAGCCCCGGCUAACUACGUGCCAGCAGCCGCGGUAACACGUAGGGGGCAAGCGUUGUCCGGAUUUAUUGGGCGUAAAGAGCUCGUAGGCGGCUCGGUAAGUCGGGUGUCAAAUCCUCAGGCUCAACCUGGGGCACCACCCGAUACUGCUGUGGCUAGAGUCCGGUAGGGGAGCGUGGAAUUCCUGGUGUAGCGGUGAAAUGCGCAGAUAUCAGGAGGAACACCAGCGGCGAAGGCGGCGCUCUGGGCCGGAACUGACGCUGAGGAGCGAAAGCGUGGGUAGCAAACAGGAUUAGAUACCCUGGUAGU
rnacentral:rRNA from 1 species